AACCUACGAUGAUGGCAUCUUAUCAAUGGAUCUUUAAAUCUCUCUCAUGCAUCAUAUAAUGUCUCCAAGUUAAUUUGAGCAAAAGAAGAUAUGUUGUUCUUUAACUU
rnacentral:snoRNA from 1 species